GAUAGUUACCUGGUUGAUCCUGCCAGUAGU
rnacentral:rRNA from 1 species